rnacentral:lncRNA from 1 species
CGCUGCUAACCACCCGGAUUUAAGCCAGGUUUUCCAUAACUGCCCCGCUAAUCCCUCGCCCGAAGAUCCAUCUCUCCGAGAUCCCUGGAUCCCCCUCUCCUCUCUCUUCCCUCCGCCGGACCUCACCUCUGAGCUCGCCAUCCACCAUGCGUGUCCUGGCCAGCGCCGCCAGAACUCUAUCCCCUACGCCCCGUGCUUCGAACUAACCUCGCCUCCGAGCAGACCAGCGCCCAGAUCUGUUCCCCUUACGCGGCCCCGUGCAGCCUCGCCGGUCCGCCGAACCAGCAUUAGCGGCCACGCCCGUCGUGUCCACCGUCUUAUUUUCCUCACCAGGUUGUGCAGAUCAACCCGGCCAACUUGGGGGCACCAGGUAUGCACGGCUCCAUCAAAGAUUCAAAGUACAAAUACAUCACCUAACUCUGCAACGUUGAAGUAGAAAUCAGCAUGCUCGUAUUAUAGUGUACUUCUAUUCCGCGGCGAGGCCAGCCUAAAGUAUCCGUGGGGUCAAUGGUAUUUUUUUGGAUUUUUUUCUUCAGUAUGAACAGUAACCCCACAGACUAACACGUACCUUCGCCGCUGCUUCUAUUCAAAUGGACGUGUGCUGUAUGUCUGUGCAGAGCUUUUGUUCAUGUAAGCCAACAUGACCCCAAUUAGGUUGAUGAUAUUGAUUCGUACAUAAAAAAUUUCAGCAACCAAUCUUGGAAGCAGACAUCCUAUUUUUAUUUUAUUUUGAUAACUGGAUGCUUCCAAUGCAUCACAUCUAUGUUUUGAUAGCAACAAAUUUUUGCUUUAGAAUCCAUGCUUCGUCGGUCUCCUAUAUGUGCUUCUUAUGUACUCCCUCCGUCCGGAAUUACUUGUCGUAGAAAUGGAUGAAAAUUAAUGUAUCUAUAACUAAAAUAUGUCUAGAUACAUUUUUAUCCAUUUUUACGACAAGUAAUUCCGGACGGAGGGAGUAUAAGUAGAGCGCCGCAGUACAACCACGCUUCUUAAUUUAUGUAACAAUACGCUUCCAAGAUUUCCUAACAAAUUAGUGAGAUACCAAUGCAAGAUUGCCAAGCCAUUAGCUAUUCCUUAUAAUUCCAUGCUUCCAAUCUAUUCUUUUAUUGUUUCAAAAUGCCAAAUGGUGAUUUGAACACGGAUUGUCUUAUGCACAGGGUGGGCUUAUGUAUGCAUUUGAGUUGUUUACCGGUGUACAUAUGUGCGCUUCGAUGAAUUUAUUUAUAGAUAAAAAAUUUAUGCACCCAUCCGAUUCAGUCGGAGCAUGGACUAGUAGUAUCUAUGUUCAUUGUAUGCUUCAAUGCCAAAUAUGUAAUGUUUCGCGGCUGCUCUACCUCAACAUUAUGAGCAUACAUUUACUUGUGAAUAAUCCGCUGUGUUCAUCCAAAUAAUCUCACAUGAUGCUUCAACACUCAACCUCUGGUACCUUAGCUUCUUCACUGCUUAAAUUUUAAUGCUUCAUUACCACUCAAUAAUCGCUUCAACUUAUCUCCUGAUAUGCUUCCAUCCUAAUUUUAUAUGCUUCAUUACUUUUUCAUAAACAUACAUUUACAUUCUGCACACAUGGUAGUACAUUUACUUUCUCAGUGCAACCUAAAUACAAGCUUGAAAGGUAGUUGUCUUAUUUUGUUACUUCUAGGAGAUGAUAUUUCUUUUGAACAAGAAAGAGCACCAAAGGCGCCAUAUAUUAAUCAAGCACAGUUUACAUGAAGGAUUUGAAAAUCCUGUACAUUAAAAUUGGCUAGCUUUUGAAGCAUAGAGCACUGAGUAUCUCUGUACUUGGAGCUGCUACAUUUCAGAAUGGUACUCACAUCUUGAUCUAAUCGAGCAGUGGAUGCACAAUCGUGAGCUUCCUUGUUAAGAUUUCCAGCAGAUGAUUUAUAGCACCACAUGUUAAUUGCCUAUAAGCAGGACAUUGGUGCCGAGGUCAUCAACAAGCCCCUCUUGUUCCUCAUCGAGGCCAUCAUGGUUGCUCAUGUUCAAGUAUGCAUCAAGCCCAGUGGGCGCGCUCAUAUAGUCUCGCUGGUGCCCCCCGUGCAUGAGCCAUGCUAUUUGUGGUGGACCACAGUGGCAUUAUAGGCACAACCUAACAUGUUUGUGUUGUAUAUGGAACCAAAUUCUGAUUAUCAUUACAAGUAAAUACUAUUUUAUUUUAGAAGCAAGUUAUAUUCUCUGUUGGAAGCAAUGGCGAUAGAAACAAAAAAUUGGUUCGCUGGAAGCUAAUAACCCUAUUAUAUUUUGGAGGCAAUGUGGUAGAAAUAUGUAGUUGUCACUUGGAAGCAAUUUAAUCCUCCUACAAAACAAUUCUCUGUUCGGAGGAGAUCUUUACUUGUUUCGAAACAAAAUACUAGAUGGAAGCAAUGUUUGUUCGUCUUUGAAGCAGUCUCCAUCACAAGCAAGAUGUUCUUGGUAGGAAGCAAAAAUAAGUUGCACAAGAUGAAAUUUCGCAGCAAUCAGUAACAAAUUUUUCAUCAUAUGAAAGAAAAACUGCUCAUUUUGGAAACAAUUUAAUGCUUA